rnacentral:rRNA from 1 species
CAAGUCGAACGGCAGCACGGAGCUUGCUCUGGUGGCGAGUGGCGAACGGGUGAGUAAUAUAUCGGAACGUACCCUGGAGUGGGGGAUAACGUAGCGAAAGUUACGCUAAUACCGCAUACGAUCUAAGGAUGAAAGUGGGGGACUCGCAAGAGCCUCAUGCUCGUGGAGCGGCCGAUAUCUGAUUAGCUAGUUGGUAGGGUAAAAGCCUACCAAGGCAUCGAUCAGUAGCUGGUCUGAGAGGACGACCAGCCACACUGGAACUGAGACACGGUCCAGACUCCUACGGGAGGCAGCAGUGGGGAAUUUUGGACAAUGGGCGAAAGCCUGAUCCAGCAAUGCCGCGUGAGUGAAGAAGGCCUUCGGGUUGUAAAGCUCUUUUGUCAGGGAAGAAACGGCGGUUUCUAAUACAGACCGCUAAUGACGGUACCUGAAGAAUAAGCACCGGCUAACUACGUGCCAGCAGCCGCGGUAAUACGUAGGGUGCAAGCGUUAAUCGGAAUUACUGGGCGUAAAGCGUGCGCAGGCGGUUUUGUAAGUCUGUCGUGAAAUCCCCGGGCUCAACCUGGGAAUGGCGAUGGAGACUGCAAGGCUAGAGUUUGGCAGAGGGGGGUAGAAUUCCACGUGUAGCAGUGAAAUGCGUAGAUAUGUGGAGGAACACCGAUGGCGAAGGCAGCCCCCUGGGUCAAGACUGACGCUCAUGCACGAAAGCGUGGGGAGCAAACAGGAUUAGAUACCCUGGUAGUCCACGCCCUAAACGAUGUCUACUAGUUGUCGGGUCUUAAUUGACUUGGUAACGCAGCUAACGCGUGAAGUAGACCGCCUGGGGAGUACGGUCGCAAGAUUAAAACUCAAAAGAAUUGACGGGGACCCGCACAAGCGGUGGA